UUCCGCGUGUAUACCAGAAGUAACAACUUCACAGAAAUCAUCCGAAGCGAUUACGGCGAUUGGCUGGAAUCGCUCAAUCUAGACACGAUGUCCAAUUUUCGUUCCAACAGUUGUGUACACAAAAUAUUCAGGACACUUUUCGUCGCUACAAAACGGGUCAAGUGACUGUAAUAAUUGUCUCACGGUAAUUGGCAGUGUCUUUUUCCAUUAAUUCGAACGGCGAGCGCAUGGUAUACUCGGAAUGGCCAAAACUCGUUAAAUGUGGGAUAGCGUAUGCCGCAUCAAAUUAUCAUGAGAUCGAAGCCCUCGGGCUCUUCCUCUUCUAGGAAUGCGGCGCGUACCUACCUCGGACAAAGCGAUUGGUGUAGAAUAGCAGCGUACAGCCGUCACAACUGCUUUCGUUCACUUCGAAGAAAUUCUCACAACGAUAACUUUGACGCAGCAUCUCGUGCAACAAUGAAAACUCUGGUCUAUCUAUCUACUCUUAACUGUGAUUGCCAAUGGGCGAAACACCGACAUACUUGCCAGCACAGACCCUGAAGAGUAAAAUAAUUUCAAGGAUAAUUGGAACUCAAUAUUGUUCUGAGAAGAAACCUGCAGCUCAACAAGUGAAUCGUUACCGCUGCAAUCCGAAUCAGCCGGUUUUCGUAUCGAAUAUCCCGCAUGCGCAGAUUCGUGCAUCGCAAUAUGACGUAUAUUUGGAAUAUCAAUUUGCAAUAUUACUCAUAAGAUGAAUAUAAUCCCUUGCAGAUCUCCCUCUUGCUCCUGCAUUCGCGAUCGAAGUACAACUUCGAGAACGCGAAUAAUAAUUCAGCCGCGUUAACGAUUCUCCGAAUAUACCUUUUUCACUUCUAUUCACCGUCUUGAAAAUCGAUGGAAUAUCAAAUUCAAUGUGGCGAUGAGCAGGAAACUACCGUACAGCAUGGUCCCUACAGAAAGUAACUUCUUCGCGAUGAGUACAAAGGGACUGUUAGGCAGGCCGCUGAAUAUGAACUCAUAUCAAUUGCAAGCGAACAGAAUGCAAUUAGAGACCUAGCUCGUUAGAAAGCGAAUGUAGCAAAGCUCGAAGCCAAGAGAUAAGCUCACGAAGCGAGUGCCUACCGGGAAGCAAUUUCACGUGUAAGGGAAGAAGCCUGGUGGGAAGUUACUAGAGACGGGCCAUCUACUCCAAUGCAGGAACUCUCGGAAGGAUCGCUCGUGAAGUAAUCUAAUGCGAGUAACUUUUCACAUAGCAACAACUAUCGAGAAGGAAAGUUGCACGCUACAAUCUAUUUC
rnacentral:misc_RNA from 1 species